rnacentral:lncRNA from 1 species
UGCUGCCAGUCCCAUCCCUGCAGCCAUGUACCUCACCUUACUAUUUCUGCUGUUUCUGUGCCCUGUGACCUUGCUCCAGGAGACAGGAAGCUGCUCCCAGUACCCUCUCCUCUGCUGUUUGGGAGUAAUCAGUGAUUGCAAACGGGGAGGCUGCUAUUGUGAUGAGUUCUGCCACCUCGUGCCUGACUGCUGCCAUGAUUAUGUUGACACUUGCAGGCCUGGCCCAGCAGCUUCUUGACACUGGCUUCCCUGGCCUGUCCCUCGCUGGCACAGUGAAGGAAGCCAAGAAGACACUGUAACAUUCUCGCAUGAUCUGCCUCCCUCUGGACGCUUCCCAAGGAGGACCAGUAGUUAUGGCCAAGAGGUCAACGGUGGCUCGGCAUUAGGACAUGCUUGGAUAUCCGCCUACAAUAUUCUUUCAGCAUUCUGUCUGGAUUCCUCCCUUUCUUCCCAUCACUUAACUACUUUGUAUUGUACUUAUCUGCAUAUCUAUCUUCAACCCCAUCUCCCAGUAGACUAUAAGCUCCUUGAGGGCAAAGACUGUAAUUUUGAUCCCUAUAUCCCUGGCAUUUGGCACAGGGCCUUGCCCACUGGGGGAUCACUUAAUAUAUUGAAUAAGAGAAAGAGCCAGAAGGAAAGAUGAAUACCAUGGAGCCCAACCUUCUCAUUUCAAAGAUGAGGAAACUAAAGUCUCAAGAAGCAACAUAAUUUUUCCAAGGUCACAUAGCAAUUUAACAGCAAGGCUGGGACCAGAACCCAGAUGUGGUGGGAGCAAUAGUAGGUUUUUACUCAAAAUGUGUUGUCAAGAUUUAAUUGUAAAAUGAGGGGAUUGGAUUAAAUAAUAUCUAAAGUCCUCUCCAGUAGCUUUUUAAAACCCUACACAACCUGUCCUCCUCGCCUCUGCCACCAUCCUGGUGGAGGCCUUCAUCACCUGCUGAUUGCAAUAAUCUGCCUCAGGUCUCUCCCUGAUCCAAUCCAUCUCCAUUUGGCCACAGAAGUGAUUUUCCUAAAGCAUAGGUCUGACCAUAUCACCCUCCUCCUCAGUGGCUCCCUAUCACCUUCAGGGUCAAAUACAAAAUCUUCCACUGGGCUUUCAAAGCCCUUCAUAACCCAGCCCCCUUCUACCUUUCCAGUCUUAUUAUGGCUUACUCCCAGCCAUGUACUCUUUCAUCAGUGACUGGCUUCCUGGCUGUUCCAUGAAUAAGAUGCUCCAUCUCUUGGCUCCAGGCAUUUUCUCU